rnacentral:rRNA from 1 species
UACGUAGGGGGCAAGCGUUAUCCGGAGUUACUGGGCGUAAAGCGCGGGCAGGCGGCUCGAAACGUCUGAUGUGAAAUCUCCUCGCUCCACGGGGAGAGGCCAUUGGAAACGGUCGGGCUGGAGGGCAGUAGAGGCAGGCGGAAUUCCGGGUGGAGUGGUGAAAUGCGUAGAGAUCCGGAGGAACACCAGAGGCGAAGGCGGCCUGCUGGGCUGCACCUGACGCUGAACCGCGAAAGCCAGGGGAGCGAACGGG